CAGCCGCCGCGGGAAUACGGAGGGGGCUGGCGUUGUUCGGAAUUACUGGGCGUAAAGCGUGCGCAGGCGGUUCGUUAAGUCUGUUGUGAAAGCCCCGGGCUCAACCUGGGAAUGGCAAUGGAUACUGGCGAGCUAGAGUGUGUCAGAGGAUGGUGGAAUUCCCGGUGUAGCGGCGAAAUGCGUAGAGAUCGGGAGGAACAUCAGUGGCGAAGGUGGCCAUCUGGGACAACACUGACGCUGAGGCACGAAAGCGUGGGGAGCAAACAGGAUUAGAUACCCGCGUAGUCCCUGUCUCUUAUAC
rnacentral:rRNA from 1 species